UCAGCCGGCCAUAGCGCGCGGGUCCUACCCAGACUCGUUCCGAUCCUGGAAGUAAAACCGCGCGUCGCCUUGGUGUUAGUGAAGUGCGAGAGCCUUCGCGAAGCCCAGGUGCCGGCACCC
rnacentral:rRNA from 1 species